UGAACUUGAUUCUGUAAGGGAUUUUGGGUGACCCUUUGGUUAUUGAUAUGAUGGUCACCUAUUUUCACUUUUAUAUUCUUUUCCUUUUUUCUUCUUUUCCCUAACCUUUUCUUUGAUUGGUUCUUUUGAACUCUCAGUCCACCAGGAUGCCCCAAUUUUUUCCUAAGUCACCUUCUCAGUGUUUUACUUAGGGGGAUUUUU
rnacentral:lncRNA from 1 species